ACACAUGCAGUCGAGCGGCAGCACAGAGAAACUUGUUUCUCGGGUGGCGAGCGGCGGACGGGUGAGUAAUGCCUGGGAAAUUGCCCUGAUGUGGGGGAUAACCAUUGGAAACGAUGGCUAAUACCGCAUAAUAGCUUCGGCUCAAAGAGGGGGACCUUCGGGCCUCUCGCGUCAGGAUAUGCCCAGGUGGGAUUAGCUAGUUGGUGAGGUAAUGGCUCACCAAGGCGACGAUCCCUAGCUGGUCUGAGAGGAUGAUCAGCCACACUGGAACUGAGACACGGUCCAGACUCCUACGGGAGGCAGCAGUGGGGAAUAUUGCACAAUGGGCGCAAGCCUGAUGCAGCCAUGCCGCGUGUGUGAAGAAGGCCUUCGGGUUGUAAAGCACUUUCAGUCGUGAGGAAGGUGGUGUUGUUAAUAGCAACAUCAUUUGACGUUAGCGACAGAAGAAGCACCGGCUAACUCCGUGCCAGCAGCCGCGGUAAUACGGAGGGUGCGAGCGUUAAUCGGAAUUACUGGGCGUAAAGCGCAUGCAGGUGGUUUGUUAAGUCAGAUGUGAAAGCCCGGGGCUCAACCUCGGAAUAGCAUUUGAAACUGGCAAGCUAGAGUACUGUAGAGGGGGGGUAGAAUUUCAGGUGUAGCGGUGAAAUGCGUAGAGAUCUGAAAGAAUACCGGUGGCGAAGGCGGCCCCCUGGACAGAUACUGACACUCAGAUGC
rnacentral:rRNA from 1 species